rnacentral:lncRNA from 1 species
GUGUGUUAACAACCAAGCAACUUACAUCCAAGCUAUAGGGGAAAACCAAGUAAGCUCUACCAUAAAUUUUAAAAAGAUAGUCCCUUUAGUAAUCUUUCACAACAUAAUUACAAAACAAUUACUCAAAAGAUAGGCAUACAAAAAUGAAUUCCGGACUUAAUUAGUAGUAUAAAGACAUCAGAGAGAAAAUAACGUACUUAGAAUUAGUAACAUCGCUGAAAAGGGCAAGACAAAGGGUGGUUCCACCAACUUCGAACGCCUUCAUUGCUAACUAAAAACAAAAAAUAUAAGAAAAAUAAGAAAAUAAAAAUCAUGAAAUUCUGGUAGCAGAAAUGAGAAGUGAGAACUUUAGAUGCAUAAUUAAUAGAGGAAGCAAUCUUUGUCGUACUGAGCUCAGCUCAAAAGAACCGACGAAGAAUUCAAGCCCGUCGACAGGGAAAGUGGCGGCGCUGCACUGGAGUAUUAAGGUAGAUUUUAUUCGGGAAUAUUACACAAUGGUCCUUGUACUUUGUAUAAUAUAUUUUCCCCCUGAAAGUUCUUUUCUAUUGGUCUUUAAUCGUGCCGAUUUAGACAAGAGGGGUUGUUCUGAUGGUAAGCAACCCUCACUUCCAACUGAGAGGUUGUGAGUUCGAGUCUUC